rnacentral:rRNA from 1 species
UCGAGAAUCAUUCGCAAUGGGCGAAAGCCUGACGAUGCGACGCCGUGUGAGCGAAGAAGGCCUUCGGGUUGUAAAGCUCUUUCGCUUGGGAACAAGAGGAGGCAAGUAAUAUAUGCCGACUUUGAGGGUACCAGGUAAAGAAGCACCGGCUAACUACGUGCCAGCAGCUGCGGUAAUACGUAGGGUGCAAGCAUUAAUCGGAGUUAUUGGGCGUAAAGGGCGCGUAGGCGGUUUAGUAAGUCUUGAUGUGAAAUUCCUGGGCUCAACCUAGGAGCUGCAUGAGAAACUACUAAACUCGAGGAUGGACGGAGAGAACGGAAUUCCACAAGUAGCGGUGAAAUGCGUAGAUAUGUGGAAGAACACCUGUGGCGAAGGCGGUUCUCUAGUUUAUUCCUGACGCUGAGGCGCGAAAGCAAGGGGAGCAAACAG